rnacentral:lncRNA from 1 species
AUGAACCGAGAUUUAAAAAAGCGUCCUAGGAACUGGAUCCCUGCGCAGCCUUUGAGCGCCUCGCAGCUGGGGGCGCCCCAGGGGCCGCGAGCAGAGGAGCCGCGAAGGAGGGGUGCCCAGCCCGGGGAGGGGGGCACCGAGCCCGCCGGGGCAGCGCCUCCCCGAGGGGGGCCGAGGGACGCGUUCACCGUCGGUCUUCGCUGCGAGCGCCUGUGCCCGCCGCCCACGUCCUCCCGGUCCCCGUCGUCAAUGCGGGCGCAGCGCCACCCACCAGCUUUAAGGCGGCCGAAGCCGCGGACCCUCGUCCUGAGGUCACCGCCAGAGGCGUGGAGGAGCGGGGCCCGGGGCCCGGGAGCCGGUCCCCCCAGGACCGUGAGGCUGCAGCCAGCCCCGAGGGGCGGCGCCGGCCAGAGGCUCUGUGAUAGUGCAGGUGCGUGCGGGUGCGUGCGGGUGCGUACGGGUGUGUACGGGUGUGUGCAGGUGCGUACAGGUGUGUGCGGGUGUAUGCGGGUGCGUGCAGGUGCGUGCGGGUGCGUGCGGGUGUGUGCAGGUGCGUGGGGUGUGUACGGGUGCGUGCAGGUGCGUGCGGGUGUGUACGGGUGCGUGCGGGUGUGUACAGGUGUGUGCAGGUGCAUGCGGGUGUGUACGGGUGUGUGCAGGUGCGUACAGGUGUGUGCGGAUGUAUGCGGGUGCGUGCAGGUGCGUGCGGGUGCAUGCGGGUGUGUACGGGUGUGUGCAGGUGCGUACAGGUGUGUGCGGAUGUAUGCGGGUGCGUGCAGGUGCGUGCGGGUGCAUGCGGGUGUGUACGGGUGUGUGCAGGUGCGUGGGGUGUGUAUGGGUGGGUGCAGGUACGUGCGGGUGUGUACGGGUGCGUGCAGGUGCGUGCAGGUGCGUGCGGGUGCGUGCGGGUGUGUACAGGUGUGUGCGGGUGCGUGCAGGUGCGUGGGGUGUGUACGGGUGCGUGCAGGUGCGUGCGGGUGCGUGCGGGUGUGUACGGGUGCGUGCGGUGCGUGCAGGUGUGUGCAGGUGCGUGCAGGUGAGGGCCUCUCCUGCCUGAGUCCAGCCAGACACAGGCUCAGCCUCCAGGGCAGAGCCCUCAGUGGGGCCCGGCCCGCGCCAGUACCCAGUACCCGGCUCCGCGAGCUCUGCGGGGUGGGGGUGGGGGUGGGGGUGGGGUGGGGGUGUCUCAGCUCCUCCCCCCCCCCCCCCCCCCCCCCCCGGGGAGACGCAGGCUGGGGCUGGGCCUUGUCGUUUCGCUGUCCUUGUCUCCGCGGUGCUGAGAACCGGGCAGGAGCGCCGACUCCUCCUCCAGGAGGCCCGCCCGGCUGGGGUGGGGGCUCGGGUGUGGGAUGGGUGACGCACCUCGGGCUGCCGGGCCGGGGGCGACCCCAGGUACUGCCCGCCGCGCGGUGCCGCCAGGGCUGCCCCCAGGACGAGGGGCAGAGGGGCCGGGGCGGGAGUCGGCAGCAGCCGAGCUAUGGGGGACCCCGGGGCCGGGGCGAGCCCGCGGCUGGGACCUCCGGAGGCGGCGGAAGCCUGCGAGGACCUGCGGAGCGGUGA